UGUAGGCUCUGGUCCAAUGUGAGCACCUGGAUAACUCAUUUUGAGUAAAUGUUUAAUGAAUGUUGUUUUGCCAGUGGAGUAUUGACCCAGAAGCAUCACCAUUGGCUUGGCAUCAAAAUCACUAUUCGUCAACAAAGGAGAGACAAAAUCAUUAAAGUGAUAUGCGACUUCUAGCGGCUUUAGUUUUUGGAUGUACAACUUCUUCAGUCCAUCAACUAUUGAUGUGACGGAGGUUAAAGAGAUCUUCUUUGAAGAUUUUGAUGAUGAAAACCAACUAGUUGUUGGUGCAGCCGGGACAGGAGCACUGCCAUUCUGAUCCUGUUCGCUUUUAGGCAUCAGCUUCUUCUUAGCAAGAAGAACAUCCAGACCUUCCAUCGCAGGAGGUGGCAAAUUUUCAAAGUCAACAUCAGCAUUUAAAAGAUCACUGGUUACUGCAUGGCCAGCUUGCGCCAAAGCGACCAACUGCAUUCCAACAACAAAAUCUCUAAAAUUGAGAAACCCUUGUCGUUUGGAAUCUGCAAUUGCCCACACCUGCUUGAGUUCUGGUCGAGGCAAAUUGGACAUGGCAAAGAACUUGAUGGCAUCUCCACCAGUAAGACGUCCAUCUCCAUCAGAAUCAGCAAAAUUGAACCAUUGUUGAUAGAUCUUCUCGUGUUCUUUUGAACAUCGAUUAAUGGGGCUUGUAUCAAACUCCAUUUUUAAAUUCUU
rnacentral:misc_RNA from 1 species